CCCUUCUUUACCAAAAGCGCCAUGCCAAAAUCAGCAGGUCUGAGCUUUUACCGGUUUAGUCCUGCUGGUCAUGCUAGUAUGGUACAUCUCAAAGAAGAGAGAGCAAAAGCCGCAGCCUCGGAAAUGAGACCAGGAGGGACCUCUUUCUUAAUGUCCCGUGUCCUGUGUCUCAAGAUUCUGCGCUACAUGU